rnacentral:sRNA from 1 species
UGACUUUUUGUUCAGUUUUGAGGUUAGU